rnacentral:rRNA from 1 species
GACGAACGCUGGCGGCGUGCUUAACACAUGCAAGUCGAACGGAAAGGCCCUGCUUUUGUGGGGUGCUCGAAUGGCGAACGGGUGAGUAACACGUGAGUAACCUGCCCUUGACUUUGGGAUAACUUCAGGAAACUGGGGCUAAUACCGGAUAGGAGCUCCUGCUGCAUGGUGGGGGUUGGACAGUUUCGGCGGUUGGGGAUGGACUCGCGGCUUAUCAGCUUGUUGGUGGGGUAGUGGCUUACCAAGGCUUUGACGGGUAGCCGGCCUGAGAGGGUGACCGGCCACAUUGGGACUGAGAUACGGCACAGACUCCUACGGGAGGCAGCAGUGGGGAAUAUUGCACAAUGGGCGGAAGCCUGAUGCAGCAACGCCGCGUGCGGGAUGACGGCCUUCGGGUUGUAAACCGCUUUCGCCUGUGACGAAGCGUGAGUGACGGUAAUGGGUAAAGAAGCACCGGCUAACUACGUG